GGAAGGGCUGGGUGUGUGGCAGCUGGGGACAGGUAGUCCUGGCAGCCACUGGGCCAAGGGGCUGCCUGACAGACAUGCGCUCUGCUUCUCUGCCUUCUAGCCCUCUGGAUGUUGGCCCUAGCCUUCUGCUCAGGCACAGCCCAGGUCCCCUCCUGCUCCAGGAGGGCCACCCAGAGGCCUACUUCAUGACUGAGCCUCAGGAGGGUCUGUCUGCCUACCAGGGAGCUGGCACAUUGUAAACCAGGAGGGCCAGGGACAGGAUCCUGGGAAGGACCAGCCUGGUGGGUACCUGAGGGAGAGGGAGGGGUAGGCAGGGGGCUGG
rnacentral:lncRNA from 1 species